AUCUGUUCACAUCUUACCGGGCAGCAUUAGAUCAUAUUUUAACACUCUAAUACUGUCAGGUAAAGAUGUCGUCCGA
rnacentral:pre_miRNA from 12 species